rnacentral:lncRNA from 1 species
UGUAAGACAAAACCAGUGUUUCGUUUAAUACCAUUUUUAAUUUUUUACUAUUCUGCUGUUGUGCAUGAUGAUCACGAAGGCAAUGGUCAUAAGUGGUGAGCUUGAUUCUCUUAAAAUAGCUGACAGUAGCAUUUCCAUAUAUAAUGCAAGCUAGACUCCUCAUGAGAAGGUGCUGCAAUGGAGAAGGGACAUGCAGCGUGUGCUUUCCGUUUAUGUGAAAACUGAAAUAGUGUUUGAUCA